CUCUUCCGAUUCAACAAAGAACGGCCAUGCACCACCACCCAUAGAAUCAAGAAAGAGCUCUCAAUCUGUCAAUCCCUAUGUCUGGACCUGGUGAGUUUUCCCGUGUUGAGUCAAAUUAAGCCGCAGGCUCCCUCCUAAUUGGUGCCCAAAUAACACUCGCUGAUCCCUAGUCGGCAUCGUUUAUGGUUAGAACUAGGACGGUAUCUGAUCGUCUUCGAUCCUCUAACUUUCGUUCUUGA